rnacentral:rRNA from 1 species
AGAGUUUGAUCCUGGCUCAGGACGAACGCUGGCGGCGUGCUUAACACAUGCAAGUCGAGCGGUAAGGCCCUUUCGGGGGUACACGAGCGGCGAACGGGUGAGUAACACGUGGGUGACCUGCCCUCAGCUCUGGGAUAAGCCUGGGAAACUGGGUCUAAUACCGGAUAUGACCUUCCCUCGCAUGGGGGUUGGUGGAAAGUUUUUUCGGCUGGGGAUGGGCCCGCGGCCUAUCAGCUUGUUGGUGGGGUGAUGGCCUACCAAGGCGACGACGGGUAGCCGGCCUGAGAGGGCGACCGGCCACACUGGGACUGAGACACGGCCCAGACUCCUACGGGAGGCAGCAGUGGGGAAUAUUGCGCAAUGGGCGGAAGCCUGACGCAGCGACGCCGCGUGGGGGAUGACGGCCUUCGGGUUGUAAACCUCUUUCGACCUUGACGAAGGCCUUCGGGUUGACGGUAGGGGUAGAAGAAGCACCGGCCAACUACGUGCCAGCAGCCGCGGUAAUACGUAGGGUGCGAGCGUUGUCCGGAAUUAUUGGGCGUAAAGAGCUCGUAGGCGGUCUGUCACGUCGGUCGUGAAAACUUGGGGCUUAACCCUGAGCUUGCGGUCGAUACGGGCAUGACUUGAGUUCGGCAGGGGAGACUGGAAUUCCUGGUGUAGCGGUGAAAUGCGCAGAUAUCAGGAGGAACACCGGUGGCGAAGGCGGGUCUCUGGGCCGAUACUGACGCUGAGGAGCGAAAGCGUGGGGAGCGAACAGGAUUAGAUACCCUGGUAGUCC